rnacentral:snoRNA from 2 species
UGCUACAAUGAUGACAUUUAUUUGCUACUCUUGACUGCAAGAAUGACGACAGACUAAACCACCAUUACUUUAACUGAGGCA